GACGAACGCUGGCGGCGUGCUUAACACAUGCAAGUCGUACGGUAAGGCCCUUUCGGGGGUACACGAGUGGCGCACGGGUGAGUAACACGUGAGUAACCUGCCCACAACUUUGGGAUAACGCUAGGAAACUGGUGCUAAUACUGGAUAUGUUCUCCUGCUGCAUGGUGGGGGUUGGAAAGCUCCGGCGGUUGUGGAUGGACUCGCGGCCUAUCAGCUUGUUGGUGGGGUAGUGGCCUACCAAGGCGGCGACGGGUAGCCGGCCUGAGAGGGUGACCGGCCACAUUGGGACUGAGAUACGGCCCAGACUCCUACGGGAGGCAGCAGUGGGGAAUAUUGCACAAUGGGCGCAAGCCUGAUGCAGCAACGCCGCGUGCGGGAUGACGGACUUCGGGUUGUAAACCGCUUUCAGCAGGGACGAAGCUUUUUGUGACGGUACCUGCAGAAGAAGCACCGGCUAACUACGUG
rnacentral:rRNA from 1 species